rnacentral:rRNA from 1 species
GAUGAACGCUGGCGGCGUGCUUAACACAUGCAAGUCGAACGGUGAACGAGGGAGCUUGCUCCCUCCGGAUCAGUGGCGAACGGGUGAGUAACACGUGAGCAAUCUGCCCCGAACUCUGGGAUAAGCGCUGGAAACGGCGUCUAAUACCGGAUACGACGCGCGAAGGCAUCUUCUGCGCGUGGAAAGAAUUUCGGUUAGGGAUGAGCUCGCGGCCUAUCAGCUAGUUGGUGAGGUAACGGCUCACCAAGGCGACGGCGGGUAGCAGGCCUGAGAGGGUGACCGGCCACACUGGCACUGGGACACCGCCCAGACUCCUACGGGAGGCAGCAGUGGGGGAUAUUGCACAAUGGGCGAAAGCCUGAUGCAGCAACGCCGCGUGAGGGACGACGGCCUUCGGGUUGUAAACCUCUUUUAGUAGGGAAGAAGCGAAAGUGACGGUACCUGAAGAAAAAGCACCGGCUAACUACGUGCCAGCCGCCGCCGUAACAC